rnacentral:tRNA from 1 species
GCAGUGGUGGUUCAGUGGUAGAAUUCUUGCCUUCCAUGCGGAGACGUGGGUUCAGUUCCCAGCCAGGGCA